UACAGAGGGGGCAAGCGUUGUUCGGAAUUACUGGGCGUAAAGGGCGCGUAGGCGGCUUCUUAAGUCAGGGGUGAAAUCCUGGAGCUCAACUCCAGAACUGCCUUUGAUACUGGGAAGCUUCGAGUCCGGAAGAGGUGAGUGGAACUGCGAGUGUAGAGGUGAAAUUCGUAGAUAUUCGCAAGAACACCAGUGGCGAAGGCGGCUCACUGGUCCGGUACUGACGCUGAGGUGCGAAAGCGUGGGGAGCAAACAGG
rnacentral:rRNA from 1 species